rnacentral:tRNA from 1 species
GCCGGGGUAGCUCAGGGGUAGAGCAGCUCACUCGUAAUGAGCAGGCCGCGGGUUCGAAUCCCGCCUCCGGCU